AUAAGAUCUACCCUAUUGCUCCACAGAUUGCUUAGACAACUCGUGGUCUUUCUUUAAUUUUCACCUUAAAUGUCAGGUUUGCAAAGAGGCUUUCCCUCUUCUCUCAAACUGGAGUCUUCCUGUUUUAGCUCAUGGUAUCCCAUAGUUUUUCUUCAUAACGCUUAUCACCUUUAAAUUACACACUUAUUUGUGUGAUUAUUUGUAAAAAAUCUGGUUCCUCACUAGACUCUAAGCUAUAUGAGAGCAGGGACCAUGAAUUUUUCUCAGCACAGAUCCCUAGCUAGCACGUAAUAGGCACUCUAUAAAAAUGUGUGAAAUGAACGCCUGGAUUAAUCUCAGCUCGUAUUCAGUAAGGAGAAAUCUUACUUUGAUCAGCUUCAAAACUGCUAUUGUACCAGGGGAGGGGUAACAUAAAAAUAAGGUUUCCUAGAAGUGCACCAUCAGAUGAGGAUUCCUGUGCAAGUGAUUUAUUAAGAAAGUGCUCCUGGGGGAAACCAGUAAGGGGAUGUGGAAAGCAGGACAGGGAAGAGAAGACAGCCAAGCAAGGAUGAAUCUCAGGCCAUCUCCCAUAGAGGGCAGCUUCAGCCUGUGCCUGCAUGGGAACUCUCGAGUAAUGGAGUGGAAGUGACGUGUGCCACUUCUGGGCCUGGGAUAGCUUCAUCCAUGCUGUCUUUCUCCUCCCUGAUGGCUGGAACUCAGG
rnacentral:lncRNA from 1 species